ensembl:lncRNA
AUUACUUUUAUUAUUUUAUGUAUAAAAUGCACAUGUGUACUUAUUGGGUCAUUUGUAAAAAUAAUAAACAAAAAUACACAUGAGAAAUACACAAUGUCAAUUACUUACACGAGUAAAGAAAAGAGGCUAUAAUAUGUACUUGCUAGGAGGUUACUUGAUACUUGUUGAUGAGAGUUUGCAUGGAGAAAUGUGUCUUGAGGGAAAUGCUUGUGACAGGAUGUGUAGUUCUGAAUGAUAGCCACAUUAGCGGCUAGUUAGCGUUUCAUUUUUUGGGAGGUAAAUACAGGUGAAUAUAUUGAUAAAAGGUCAUUUGUCCGAGAGAGAUUUCUAUGGUUAUCAAAACGUCAAGCCAGGGUAAGACUACAUGAAACACAGACCUGGAAUGAAGUAUUUAAAAACAUCUCAGGUGAAGAAAUUAUGAGUGUAAAAAAACAAACAAUUGGAACCAUUUCCUGGUUUUACCCGCUAGGUUUUAUGGGUAUUAUGACCCAUACUGUACUCUAUAGUCUGAUUAUGAAGAUGUACACAGGUGAAGACCAAUGAUGUAGAUAAACCCUAGAUGACUGACAGGGGGCGCUGUGUUGAAGCCACUACUCAACCAUCUAAAUACACUAGAUGACUGACAGGGGGCGCUGUGUUGAACCCACCACUCAGCCAUCUAAAUACACUAGAUGACUGAUAGGGGGUGCUGUAGUGAAGCCACCACUCAACCAUCUAAAUACACUAGAUGACUGACAGGGGGCGCUGUAGUGAAGCCACCACUCAGCCAUCUAAAUACACUAGAUGACUGAUAGGGGGUGCUGUAGUGAAGCCACC